GCGCGCGCUUCGGCCACUCAACGCGAGCGUCCGCGCUAGUUUGGCCUGAACCGCGACCGAUGUCAUAUCUCAUCCUAUAGUUCCUUUUUCUAGAACGUUUCGCCCAAAUUCCUACGGGAAAUACUGAAGUUAACCAAGACGUACAAAACUAAGUGAAGCGAUACAAAUUGUUUAAAAAAAUGUGCUAGUGCGUUUUGUUUGUGUGAUCAUGUGGUUUUUUACGGUGUGUUGGCAAACCGUGCGAAACAGGUGACAGUGCCAAAAUGGCUUGCGCGGAGCAUGAGGUCACGGCGGUGUGGUGUCCGCAUGGAAGCCCGGCGGACUGGUGAGCUCGCGCUGCACCCGCUGCGAGCGCAGUUCCGCCGCGCCCUGCCGGAAUGGACCGCGCGGGCCUCCCGUCGCCGCCGCACUGCGCGAACCAUCGGCCGCUCCAAGGAGGACCCCGCGAAACCCUCGAUACCGCAGCCCCGCCCGCGGAGGCCCUAAGCGACCCAGAGACUCCGCGGCCCGCGCCGCGCGCGCUUCCCUCCAUACCCGAGAGCGAGCCGUUGCUCCGCGCGCCGCUCAGUGCCAGUGCGAUCAGUGAGAAUGCCGCGCGCAAGGCCGGGCGGCCGCUGCACGUGCAGUUCGACGCGCAGUCGCCGCCCGCGCCCGUUUCCAGCUCCAGCUCCAGCGCCAGCUCCUCCGACGACGAGGACGUGUCCAUCGCCGAGGCCCGCCCGCCCGACGGCGGCUUCGGCUGGGUCGUCGUGUUCGCCUCCUUCCUCGUCAACCUCAUCGCCGACGGGAUCACGUUCAGCUUCGGCGUGUUCUUCCCGCACUUCCUGGAGUACUUCGGCGAGGGCAAGGGCAAGACGGCCUGGAUCGCCGGCAUCUUCAUGGCCAUGCCGCUGCUGUCCGGGCCCAUCGCCAGCUUCCUCACGGACCGCUACGGCUGCCGACGCAUGACCAUCUUCGGCUCCAUCCUGGCGACGCUCGGCUUCGUCAUCUCCGCCUUCGUGGACAGCAUGGAGACGCUGUUCCUGACGUUCGGCAUCAUGGCCGGCUUCGGCCUCAGUUUGUGUUACGUAGCAGCAGUAGUGAUAGUAGCGUAUUAUUUUGACAAGAAACGCUCUCUGGCAACUGGGAUAUCAGUUUGUGGGAGCGGCAUCGGGACAUUCAUAUUCGCGCCGCUGACGUACGUCUUGUUGGACGAGUACGGGUGGCGAGGAACUACUUUGAUAUUAGCCGGACUAUUCCUAAACAUAGCCGUGUGCGGUAUGUUGUUCAGAGACUUGCCCUGGACGACGACGAUGAACGCAGAGAAAGCUAGAGAAAGAAAGCGCAGAAGAGAGAGGAAAAGAAACAAGCGCUACGGAUCCUCAGCUGACAGUUUUUCAGACAGCAAGAGUAGCGCAGCAGGGUCUGCCAAAGUGGCGGAAGCAGGGGACGUGGAAGUGGUGACGUCUCCGAUUGUUCCGCAGUUCAGUUCUUUGGUAGAUCUUCCAACAUUCAUGACGGGAGGCGAAGGCGUGUCGCUCGAAGUGUUCGAGUUGAUGUCGAACAGAGGUCGGGCGUACGCCAUGUUGGCUCAGAACUACCCGGGCGUGAUGCUUCCCUCCCGAAGUUUCAGUGACAGUGGGCGUCUGCACGAGCAGUCGCCGCCUCGAGCUUUGAUGUCUCCGGGGGUGACUUCUCCGGGGGCUUUGUCUCCGACGGCCCCUCGGCCUCCUGAGACCAAUAACACCUCUGCUCCUCCCCCUCUUAGUGACAAGGCUGCUAUGUCCUUGUGGCUGCGACGGCAGACUGCCACGGGCGCGUCCACCAAGAAGCCGCCGGCCUUCCUGAAGGACCUGAAGCUGCACCGGCACUCGCUGACGUACAGAGGCGCCAUGCUCAACAUCAACCGCUACAGAUUAAGAGCCUCGUCCUGCCCAAACAUUUUCAGGAAUUCGAUGACUACUAUUGCUAAAGAAAAGGUUCAAUGGUACGCCGGCCUAUGGGAUUUCUGGGACCUCGUGGUAGAUGUCCUGGACUUCUCUCACUUCCUCAACCCGGCUUUCCUGGUGUUCGCGAUAUCCAACUUCUUACUAUACAUGUGGUACGACGUGCCGUAUGUGUAUAUAGCUGAUAACGCCUUGAAGAUGGGCUUCAACGAGUCGCAGUCGUCUAUGCUGAUAUCGAUCAUUGGGAUCUUGAACAUGUUUGGAGAGAUCCUGCUGGGCUGGGUGGGCGACUGGGAGUGCGUAGACGCGAGCCUGGUGUAUGCAGGCUGCAUGGUUCUGUGUGGCCUGGUCACGCUGAUCAUGCCGUUGCUCUCCGGCUACGCGGCUUUGGGCGCGGCCGCUGGAGCCUUCGGCAUGUUCAUCGCGGCUAACUACUCGCUAACGAGUAUUAUACUGGUGGAGCAGAUCACGCUGGAGAAGUUUACGAAUGCCUAUGGAUUGUUGCUGCUGAUGCAGGGCGCUGCGAAUCUGAUGGGACCGCCCUUAGCUGGCUGGGUGUACGAUAUGACGGACUCCUACGACCUGUCCUUCUACCUGGCUGGAGUCUUCAUCGGGAUCUCCGGUCUUAUCCUGCUGGUGCUGCCUCUGCGGCGACUCUUCACGCGCCGUUCCCGCCGCGCUCACCUGGCUAACGUCGCUAAAGUGGCUAACGGCGGCCUGAAACAGAACGGCAACCUGCUUGUGUGAGGCAACUUUGGUAAAGGGCAAUAUUGCCAAUAAAUUGGAUUUGUAAAGCAAGAUUGUCAUAACAUGCAUAACAUAACAAGACGGAAACGUAGCUAUUGUUGUAUCAAAUAUAAUAGGGCAAUAAAUUCAGAUUUA